UCCCCGUUUAAGCGAGGCAGUCUGUCCAGAGUGCUCCAAACUCUCGUUCGGGUGGCAACAGGACACAAGGGUUGCGCUCGUUGCGGGACUUAACCCAACAUCUCACGACACGAGCUGACGACAGCCAUGCAGCACCUGUGCAAGCUGGUAUUGCUACCUCGUCCCCCUUUCAGGGUUCUACUACUUGCAUGUCAAGGCCAGGUAAGGUUCUUCGCGUUGCAUCGAAUUAAGCCACAUACUCCACCGCUUGUGCAGGCCCCCGUCAAUUUCUUUGAGUUUUAAUCUUGCGACCGUACUUCCCAGGCGGCACGUUUAGCGCGUUAGCUUCGCCACAAGAGGGGUCGAUUCCUCUUACAGCAAACGUGCACCGUUUACGGCUAGGACUAC
rnacentral:misc_RNA from 1 species